rnacentral:rRNA from 1 species
AGAGUUUGACCUGGCUCAGGACGAACGCUGGCGGCGCGCCUAACACAUGCAAGUCGAACGAGCGAGAGAGAGCUUGCUUUCUCGAGCGAGUGGCGAACGGGUGAGUAACGCGUGAGGAACCUGCCUCAAAGAGGGGGACAACAGUUGGAAACGACUGCUAAUACCGCAUAAGCCCACGGUGCCGCAUGGCACAGAGGGAAAAGGAGCAAUCCGCUUUGAGAUGGCCCCGCGUCCGAUUAGCUAGUUGGUAAGGUAACGGCCCACCAAGGCAACGAUCGGUAGCCGGACUGAGAGGUUGAACGGCCACAUUGGGACUGAGACACGGCCCAGACUCCUACGGGAGGCAGCAGUGGGGAAUAUUGCACAAUGGGGGAAACCCUGAUGCAGCGACGCCGCGUGGAGGAAGAAGGUCUUCGGAUUGUAAACUCCUGUUGUUGGGGAAGAUAAUGACGGUACCCAACAAGGAAGUGACGGCUAACUACGUGCCAGCAGCCGCGGUAAAACGUAGGUCACAAGCGUUGUCCGGAAUUACUGGGUGUAAAGGGAGCGCAGGCGGGAAGACAAGUUGGAAGUGAAAUCUAUGGGCUCAACCCAUAAACUGCUUUCAAAACUGUUUUUCUUGAGUAGUGCAGAGGUAGGCGGAAUUCCCGGUGUAGCGGUGGAAUGCGUAGGUAUCGGGAGGAACACCAGUGGGCGAAGGCGGCCUACUGGGGCACCAACUGACGCUGAGGCUCGAAAGUGUGGGUAGCAAACAGGAUUAGAUACCCUGGUAGUCCACACCGUAAACGAUGAUUACUAGGUGUUGGAGGAUUGACCCCUUCAGUGCCGCAGUUAACACAAUAAGUAAUCCACCUGGGAGUACGACCGCAAGGUUGAAACUCAAAGGAAUUGACGGGGGCCCGCACAAGCAGUGGAGUAUGUGGUUUAAUUCGACGCAACGCGAAGAACCUUACCAAGUCUUGACAUCCCUUGACAGACAUAGAAAUAUGUAAUCUCUUCGGAGCAAGGAGACAGGUGGUGCAUGGUUGUCGUCAGCUCGUGUCGUGAGAUGUUGGGUUAAGUCCCGCAACGAGCGCAACCCUUAUGGUCAGUUACUACGCAAGAGGACUCUGGCCAGACUGCCGUUGACAAAACGGAGGAAGGUGGGGAUGACGUCAAAUCAUCAUGCCCUUUAUGACUUGGGCUACACACGUACUACAAUGGCGUUAAACAAAGAGAAGCAAGACCGCGAGGUGGAGCAAAACUCAGAAACAACGUCCCAGUUCGGACUGCAGGCUGCAACUCGCCUGCACGAAGUCGGAAUUGCUAGUAAUCGUGGAUCAGCAUGCCACGGUGAAUACGUUCCCGGGCCUUGCACACACCCGCCCGUC